AGACUUGAGACCGGGAGAGGUUAGAGGUACUCCCAGGGUAGAGGUGAAAUUCUGUAAUCCUGGGAGGACCGCCUGUUGCGAAGGCGUCUAACUGGAACGGUUCUGACGGUGAGGGACGAAAGUUAGGGGCGCGAACCGGAUUAGAUACCCGGGUAGUCCUAACUGUAAACGAUGCGGACUUGGUGUUGGGGUGGCUUUGAGCUGCUUCAGUGCCGAAGGGAAGCUGUUAAGUCCGCCGCCUGGGAAGUACGGUCGCAAGACUGAAACUUAAGGAAUUGGCGGGGGAGCACCACAACGCGUGGAGCCUGCCGGUUUAAUUGGAUUCAACGCCGGACAUCUCACCAGAGGCGACAGCUGUAUGAUAGCCAGGUUGAUGACUUUGCUUGACUAGCUGAGAAGAGGUGCAUGG
rnacentral:rRNA from 1 species